AUGACCUUCGUUGGUGCAACGUACCGUGGCCUCACUGCCCGGAGAGUGGUGUAGCUCGGGGGCGGGUAAACGCUGCGGCCGCCCCGCUGUGUGGCAGAGCUCCCGUCAGCAGCGGCCGGGGCUGCUGCUCUGCUGAUAGGGUCGCAGCUGUAAUGCAGGUCCUCGGGCAGCAAUGUUAUUUAAACGAAUAAUUCCACAGAGUAACAUAGAAGAGUGCCAAUACCUGCCUAAGGCUGGCACAGCGAGCUCGGCGGCUCUCCCCGGAACGGGAGAAUUAGAUUCUGCUGCAGCGAAAGGAUUCUGCAAGUUAUAAAUAUCCGAGGCCAUUUAAAGCAGCCAUCUGCAGAACCACAGGACAAAGGAAUCACUAAUCCUGAAGAAUGCUAUUAUAGUACAGAGUGGAAAUUACAAACAUGGAACUGAAGAAUCCUGCUUUUUAACACCAGCUCAGAAGCCUGGAGUAUCGAAGAGUGCUCCACAACAGCAGGAAGAAAACUCAAAAUGUAUUUUCCAAACUAG